rnacentral:piRNA from 1 species
UNCUCAAGACACAGGGCUCCUUCUGG